CCGAUAUCGACUGUUUUUAUAAGGGCUUCAAGAACAACUCCACUUAAAAAUGUUUAAAGCCUCAAAGGCCUCUAAUGAUUAUCAUAGAAUAAUCAACAUAAAUAUCGGCUCCAGUCGACUACACACUACAACACGCUGCUCGAUGCUCGUCGCACUAUAGCUAAUAGCAGUCGUCAAUGGUCGUUUCACCAAUUUCAGCACAAAUCUAGUUUCCCAAGUUCCGUUGUGUUGAUGUACAACAGCGAUCGCCAUACAAGAAUACAACUGGGACUGACUAAAUCAUGAUUUAGCAAGAAACAACAUUGUGAAUUGUGGAGUUUUUGACAUGUAGAUGCUACACAUUACUGCAGCUUUGUUGUUCAUUGGCCGCCUAUCUGACCAUCUCAUUGAAGCUGAAUGAAAAUGUUAUUUGUCAAUGUCACAAACCUGAAAACUGGUUGAUUGAAAAUAUACUUUUGUCAAAAAACACGUAUAUACUAAAUGAUGUUUCAAAACAAUUUACCAACUGUCAGUGAACUACUAGAAUUACAGAAUUGUUGAAUAGUCCCAAGAAAACGGUGCUGCUUAUUUGAUUAGAUAAGUAUACUAAUAUUCAAAUUCGUAAUUUUUUUAUGAUAUUUUUAUAGAUAUAUAAUUCUGUAGUGAAUAUGAAUAAUUUGUACAAUAAUAAUAAAAGUACUUAAAAUAAUAAUUAUUACAAUAUAUUAUAUACAAAUAUCCAUAUUUUUAUUAUUUGUUCAUCUAUAAUAUAAUAGGCUGUGCUGAACACGUCUACCCAGAGACCGGCUCAAAUGUAAAAUAUAUAAUUAAUAUUACAAAUAUCCUUUGUUUUAUAUAUAUAUAAAUUUAUUAAUUUUCAUUUUUAUAAUUGAUAUAAAUAAAAAUAAUACAUAUUAUUCAAAUUUUUGAACAUGAAUAUAAAAAAAUGUUUUUUUGUGCCACAAAAAAAGUUACAUUUAAUAAUUCAUACUCAACUAUUUUAGA